rnacentral:lncRNA from 1 species
UCUUUCCCACCACAAGGUGAGCUUGCUGGUGCUCCCCCAGAGCCUCCUUCUCCCUUUCUUUCACAAAACAAUCAUGGUGCCUUCGCUUCCUCUUCAGAGUGGGAUGGGGUGAGGAUUUGGAGCCCGAGACCUCUGUGCACAGUAUCCCGGCGAGUGUCGAAGUCACACAUGCAGACCUGACCCACUGGGGGCCUGGGAUUUGACAUUUGACAGUCGUGCAUUGCUUAAUUUCAGGAAAUUGCCUAAUGAGAAAUGUAUGCAUUGUCAUUGUGCAAAUAUCACAGUAUGUACAUACACAAACUGGGACGCUGGAGCAUCACCAAGCUGUGGAAUCGUAUGAGACCAGCAUCACAUAUUCAGAAAUGUUGUCAAGGAGGCAUGGCUGUAUAUGCAUUUGCACGAACGCAGUACUGCUGACCAGAAUGUGAAGGAGGUGAGUGUGAGGAGGCAAGAGGUGUCAUUCUGCCAUGGCCAACUUCAGUCCUUGGAAAUAGUUGACUUCUGUGUUCAGUGACAUGUGCUGGGUAAAUUCAGCUGCUGUUACUCACACUGUGC